CCGGCGGGAAAUACCGUAAUUGCCUCAGUUGUGCGUACAGUAGUCCGCAGCCACCGCGGGCGCAAGCGUCACGGAAGCCGGAAGAGCGUGAGGAGCGAGCCGCCGGGGAUUACCGACCGUAUUCCGACCUGAGGUUGGCUGGGUCCGGCCGCCGCGGAGGAGGCUCCGCGCGGAGAGGCGGUGUCCCGCCCGCGGGCUCCGGGUCUCUCGGAGCUGGUCCUCCACGCCGGCUUCCUGCCGCUCUGUUUUCUGAGGUUUUCCCCAGAAGCGCGGCGCAGGUCGUUGACCGCCAGGCAAGGACUUGGCCCCUGGGGGGCGGGGUGAAAAGCGGCAGAGUUGCAGGGAUGUCAGGACCGGCGAGUGAACUGCCAGUUUAAUUCCCACUCUCCUGACUCCCCCCUUCACGAAGGACCUCCGGGAGAGCCUCAGGCCUUUGUCAACCUGAGCGCCCAAGAUACAGGAACGCUCUUCACACCGAAAGUGUGGCGAUUGACGAUGGGUUUCUGUCAGGGUAACGUGCAUUUGAAACACUGCAGCUCGGAAGGAGCAAAUGCUUCACCCAGAACUUCCAAAGGCCUGAUUUCCCAGAGGAGUUUGCCUGGAGGAGGGCGGGGAUGACCCCGAGUUGUGGGCCAGGAGGUGAGGAAUUCAGAAAGGGCUCAGCUGGAUGGUUUGUCUUUCCUUCUCUGCCAAGCCGGCUUCAUCACUCACAUGACAAGGCCUUAGCACUUCUUGACCUCUCUCUGCAAAUGAUGUCAUAUCCUCCAGGGCUCCCCCACAUGGUUUGGACUUCUCACAACAGGUCAUUGCAGUUCAGAUGAGGAAACUGAGGAGCUGAGAGGUCAGGCAACUUGUCAGAGGUCAUGCGGCAGAAGGUCUGUGCCACCAAUCAAAUCCAUCACCAGUCCCGUUGAAGAACUCAGAUAUUUGAAAAUGCUGAAAACCUCCAGAGUCCCUCUGGGCCUCCAGAAACAGGUUGGAAGGACUUCUGAUUUCCAGUUGGCACACGGUCACCAGGAAGAAUGACCAAGAAACUGAAGGAUCAUCCUUGCAGCUAGGUGUGGCCAUUUGAUUAAAAUCUGGCCAAUGAGAGGUCGGCAGAAGUGCAACUUCCAGGAAGUGUCUCUGAAGGGAAGGUGUGUGUCCUUAUGACCCCAUCUCCCUUCCCAGCAGUUAGAGUACAAGUGAUGCGACAGGAGCUGAGUUGCUUGGAAAUCAUGAAGUAGGAGUCAAGUGAUAAGAUGGCAGAACAGUAAGAGACGAGGAGGUCCUAAGUGACCUUGGAGCUGCUGUAAUAGGGAUGGACUCUACUGCUGGACUUGACUCACAUGAGAGAAAACUAGUGUCACUGUUAUCUUGACCUAACUCCCCUGGGGCCCAGAUUUUGGCCUCUGAUGAACUCUCCUGACACCAUGGCCUCUUGUCAGUCACACUCAAAUCUAGUCCUACAACAUCUAAGAUACAACUUUGCCAUACUUGCGGCUUCAAUCACCCACUGUCUAGAUGCCCAUGAUCUUCAGAUUUGCUCCAGCUCAGUUCUGGUAGUUCACUGGACCUCUCACACAGUUACCAUCCUCUCCCCAACCUGUCUUUCCCCCCAGGGCUCCCCAACUCAGGAAAGGGUGCCUCCAUAGCCCAACACCCUGUAAGUCAUCGAUUUCCCUCCCUCCCACUCCAGCCUUCCCACAUCCACGAAACCCCAAACCCCCCAUUCUACCUCCUAGAAAGAUUCUACUCCUCUACUCUACUUCCCGUGGCACGGUCCCAGCUCAAGCCCUGACCCCUCUACACCUUGUCCAUUGCCACCUCCUAAUUGGUCUCCCUGCCUCCAGUCUCCACUCCACAGCCUGUGUCUGCCCUCUUUAAAACCCACCCAUGACUCCCCUUGGUCUCUAGGACAAAGUCCAAGCUUUCCGAGUGAACAUCACAACCUUCUGCCUUCUGCACCGCCCCCAUCUCCCAGGCCUCCACCCCUCCCUCAGCACCUCCUCCUACAGGAUACUACACAAAGAAUUUGCUUUAGCAAAGGCUAUUUUCCUUCUGUCCACCUGCUAUUCCCUGUCUCAAAUGCCCUCCCCAAUUCCUCUGUUUGGUAUUACUCUUCCUUCAAGGUGCAGACAAAAGUCACCUCCAUGAGGCCUUGUCUGAUUCCCUCAGCAAGAGAAGCCUGUUGAGCUCUGUUCUGUGCUGCCGCAGAAUGUGCCCAUCUAACAAAGCUUAUCCCACUAUGCUCACCGAGGGGGGGCUGUCAGUCUGUCUGUCUGUCUCCCCUGACUGGCAGCGAGCAACCUGGGGAAGGAUCCCAUUUUCUUGGAAUCCAUAGCACCUAAUCUAAAGUAGGUGCCCAACACACAAUACUGUUACCCAUUUACUAAGCCCCUACUAUGUGUCAGGCCCUGAGCUGGAUGCUUUAUAUAAAUUGUCUAGUUUUAUCCUCAAAAUCACCCUGCUGGGAGAGAUGAGACUGAGAUUCAGAGAGGCUGAGCAGCUGCUUCAGGUCACACUAAUCGUGCACAGCAGUGUCAGAGACUGAUUCGCCGGCUGCCAUACUUGGUUCUCCAUUGGCCUAGGGCUUCACCCCCCUGCCAACCCCAGAUGUGGUCUCCAGGGAAGCACCAAACCCCACAGCUAGCCAGAACUGGGUGUAGAACAAGUCCUUUGUCUU